rnacentral:tRNA from 1 species
UUUAUAGCUCAGUGGUAGAGCGCUUGCCUAGCAUGUAUGAGGUACUGGGUUCAUUCCUCAGCACCACAUUAAAA